AUUGAACGCUGGCGGCAUGCCUUACACAUGCAAGUCGAACGGCAGCACGGGUGCUUGCACCUGGUGGCGAGUGGCGAACGGGUGAGUAAUACAUCGGAACAUGUCCUGUAGUGGGGGAUAGCCCGGCGAAAGCCGGAUUAAUACCGCAUACGAUCUACGGAUGAAAGCGGGGGACCUUCGGGCCUCGCGCUAUAGGGUUGGCCGAUGGCUGAUUAGCUAGUUGGUGGGGUAAAGGCCUACCAAGGCGACGAUCAGUAGCUGGUCUGAGAGGACGACCAGCCACACUGGGACUGAGACACGGCCCAGACGCCUACGGGAGGCAGCAGUGGGGAAUGUUGGACAAUGGGCGAAAGCCUGAUCCAGCAAUGCCGCGUGUGUGAAGAAGGCCUUCGGGUUGUAAAGCACUUUUGUCCGGAAAGAAAUCCUUGGCCCUAAUACGGUCGGGGGAUGACGGUACCGGAAGAAUAAGCACCGGCUAACUACGUG
rnacentral:rRNA from 1 species